GAUGAACGCUGGCGGCGUGCCUAAUACAUGCAAGUCGAGCGAACAGACGAGGAGCUUGCUCCUCUGACGUUAGCGGCGGACGGGUGAGUAACACGUGGAUAACCUACCUAUAAGACUGGGAUAACUUCGGGAAACCGGAGCUAAUACCGGAUAAUAUAUUGAACCGCAUGGUUCAAUAGUUAAAGACGGUUUUGCUGUCACUUAUAGAUGGAUCCGCGCCGCAUUAGCUAGUUGGUAAGGUAACGGCUUACCAAGGCGACGAUGCGUAGCCGACCUGAGAGGGUGAUCGGCCACACUGGAACUGAGACACGGUCCAGACUCCUACGGGAGGCAGCAGUAGGGAAUCUUCCGCAAUGGGCGAAAGCCUGACGGAGCAACGCCGCGUGAGUGAUGAAGGUCUUCGGAUCGUAAAACUCUGUUAUUAGGGAAGAACAAAUGUGUAAGUAACUAUGCACGUCUUGACGGUAUCUAAUCAGAAAGCCACGGCUAACUACGUG
rnacentral:rRNA from 1 species